rnacentral:tRNA from 1 species
GGUGAGGCCACCCGAUUGGCGACGGGCGCUGUCUUGAAAACAGUUUGACCGAAAGGUUUGCGGGUUCGACUCCCUCCCUCACCG